GGGUGCGUGGCGCAAUGGUAGCGCGUUUGACUUCGAUUGUCUUUCGGGUGCCAUCAAAAGGCUGCAGGUUCGAGUCCUGCCGUGCUCA